rnacentral:rRNA from 1 species
UACGUAGGUGGCAAGCGUUGUCCGGAAUUACUGGGUGUAAAGGGCGUGUAGGCGGGACGGCAAGUCAGAUGUGAAAUACCUCGGCUUAACUGGGGUGCUGCAACUGAAACUGUCGUUCUUGAGUGUCGGAGAGGAAAGUGGAAUUCCCAGUGUAGCGGUGAAAUGCGUAGAGAUUGGGAGGAACACCAGUGGCGAAGGCGGCUUUCUGGACGAUAACUGACGCUGAGGCGCGAAAGCGUGGGUAGCAAACAGGAUUAGAUACCCCGGUAGUCCCUGA